GAUAAAAUGGCUGGGGCAGAUUGUGGCAAAGUAGAUAAUCUCCCUCCCCUGGUACUUAGAAACGGCCUAUCAGGGCUCAGUCAUUGCUUUAUAAAGGCUGUGAUUAGGCUACUUGGGAUGCGUCAUUGUUGGCCCCGCCCAUCCGGUACGUGUGCGCUCCCGCCUAACAAAGCUGGAGUCGCCUUUUUGCAGCUUGAAUAGCCCAUUAUUCCUGGCUUCGUUGUGGUUUUCAGGCUGUUCUUGCCACCUGGUUAGACUGAUUUCAUUCAAGUAAUCUUCUGAGACUUGUGCUGUGAGCAACUGUAUGAGGCCCCUGAGUCGGGUGGCUAGCUGUCCUAGUAUCCUGGUGGUGGUGGUGUUUGGAGCACGGAGUGUGGAUUGUCGUUUGUAGUCACUCAACUCACUCUGUGUGUGUGUGUGUGUGUGUGUGUGCUUUUACGAAUAGCCACUUUUGCAGCUAGCCUACCCUGCUAGGGGUAAGCCUUCGUAAAACUGAUUAAUGUAUGCCUGGUCGAUUCAUAUCUUUGCCUGAUCUUUUAAAAGGUGUAUUUUCUACUUUGUGAAUUUAAUAAAUAUUUGUAUACGCUA